rnacentral:rRNA from 1 species
UACGGGGGGGGCAAGCGUUGUUCGGAAUUACUGGGCGUAAAGGGCUCGUAGGCGGCCAACUAAGUCCGACGUGAAAUCCCCAGGCUUAACCUGGGAACUGCGUCGGAUACUGGAUGGCUUGAAUUCGGGAGAGGGAUGCAGAAUUCCAGGUGUAGCGGUGAAAUGCGUAGAUAUCUGGAGGAAUACCGGUGGCGAAGGCGGCAUCCUGGACCGACAUUGACGCUGAUGAGCGAAAGCUAGGAGAGCAAACGGG